rnacentral:rRNA from 1 species
AGGUCAAGCAAUAAGGGCACAGGGCGGAUGCCUUGGCACUAAGAGCCGAUGAAAGACGUGAUAAGCUGCGAAAAGCUUCGGGGAGGAGCAAAUAUCCCGUGAUCCGGAGAUGUCUGAAUGGGGAAACCCGCAUGAGCAGACCUCAUGCAUCCAUACGCCAAUCCAUAACGUAUGGAAGGGAACCCGGGGAACUGAAACAUCUAAGUACCCGGAGGAAAAGAAAGAAACAUCGAUUCCGUAAGUAGCGGCGAGCGAACGCGGAGGAGCCUAAACCGGUGUGCGUGCAUGCCGGGGUCAUGGACUGCAUUUAAGAUUCAGCGAAGUUAACAGAACGGUUUUGGGAAAGCCGGCCGGAGAGGGUGAAAGCCCCGUACGUGAAAGCAGAGCUGACUGAGCAGGAUCCGGAGUACCACGAGACACGAGGAACCUUGUGGGAAGUAAGGGGGACCACCCCCUAAGGCUAAAUACUACUUAGUGACCGAUAGCGCAUAGUACUGUGAAGGAAAGGUGAAAAGGACCCCGGGAGGGGAGUGAAAGAGAACCUGAAACCCUGUGUCUACAAGCUGUGGAAGUACUUUAUAUGUACGACCGCGUACUUUUUGUAGAACGGUCCGGCGAGUUACGCUUACUGGCAAGGUUAAGCACUUCAGGUGUGGAGCCGUAGGGAAACCAAGUCUUAAUAGGGCCAGAGUCAGUAGGAGUAGACCCGAAACCGGGUGAUCUAUCCAUGUCCAGGUUGAAGCUGCCGUAAGAGGUAGUGGAGGACCGAACCCACAUCCGUUGAAAAGGGUGGGGAUGAGGUGUGGAUAGGGGAGAAAUUCCAAUCGAACCCGGAGAUAGCUGGUUCUCCUCGAAAUAGCUUUAGGGCUAGCCUCGGUGUGAGUCUUGCGGAGGUAGAGCACUGAAUUUCCUAGGGGGCGUCAAAGCCUACCGAAGAAUAUCAAACUCCGAAUGCCGUGUAGAUAUCACCGGGAGUCAGACUGCACGAGAUAAGUUGGGCGGUCAAAAGGGAAAGAGCCCAGACCUACAGUUAAGGUCCCAAAGUGCGCGUUAAGUGGAAAAGGAUGUGGGAUUUCGAAGACAACCAGGAUGUUGGCUCAGAAGCAGCCAUACAUUCAAAGAGUGCGUAAUAGCUCACUGGUCGAGAGGUCCUGCGCCGAAAAUGUCCGGGGCUGAAACGCGCCACCGAAACUAAGGAAUCUGAAAAGAUUGGUAGAGGAGCAUUGCAUGCGGGAAGAAGCAGUACCGGAAGGAGCUGUGGACUGCAUGGAAGAGAGAAUGCCGGAAUGAGUAGCGAGAUAGAGGUGGGAAUCCUCU